GCUGAAUAGCUCAGUUAACAGAGCAUGAGAUUCAUAAUCUCAGGGUUGUGAGUUUGAGCCCCACGUGGGGCA